rnacentral:tRNA from 1 species
GUUUUAGCUCAGUGGUAGAGUUCUUGCCUCACACACAUGAGGCUCUCAGUUCAAUCCUCAGCAAGACA